rnacentral:misc_RNA from 1 species
AUGAUUGCGAAUGGCUGCCUUCAGUGCUGGCUCUUACGAGCAUGUGCACGUUGGUGGCUUUCAUCCAAUACCCAUGUGAACCUUUGGCCUCUUGCUAGCUUUGGCUGGCAGAGGAUUUUUAUACACACUCGAAUGUAACGAAAACUAUUGUCGUGCGCAAGCACUAAUGUA